GGGUCAGUAGGUUGGUCGUGCCACCGGUACGUACUGGUCUCACUGAUCCCUCCUUCCUGAAGAACCGUAAUGCCAUUAAUUUGGUGUUGCGGGGAAACAGGACUGUUACUUUGAAAAAAUUAGAGUGUUUAAGGCAAGCUAACGCUUGAAUACAUUAGCAUGGAAUAAUGAAAUAGGACGAUCGAUCCUAUUUUGUUGGUUUCUAGGAUUGACGUA
rnacentral:rRNA from 1 species